CACAAGCACACAGCGAAGAGGGGAGCUUGAUCUUGUCUCAUUGGUGUCUCGGGCCUGAAAGGAAAAUCGUUUGGGUAAACAGCCAAGCUUCCAGGCUUAACGCCCGGCUCCCGCCCCCGCCCCCGCCCCCCUCCGCCUCCCCCACUCCCCUUCCACCCCACCCGCCACCCACACUCCGCUCCGCAGCCGGGCCCCGAGCGAGCUCCGCGCGGCGGGCUGGGAGCCCAGGGCUCCCGGGUUCAAAGGGCCCCGGCCCUGAGGGGGAUGCCCUUCUCGCUGUGCCCCGGGGGGCAGAAGCGGACUGCAGGGCGGUGGGACCGGCCCGGGCCACGGUGGUGUGACAUUCUUUUGUCCCCAAAUGAAAAUGCAGGCUCCAACCAUCCCUGAAAUGCCUUUUUGAGUGUCUCUUUCAGAAGCUCAUACACUAGGAUGUUGAAGGUGCAAUAUGGCUUUUGAUGCACGUGUAGUAGCAUAAAGUGAAAUUCUAGAGAAUACACUACAUUUUCAAGAAAAAAAGUUAAAGAGCCCUGACUUAGUAAUUUUAACUUUUGAAAUCUCUCGUCAUGAGUGUAUCUACACUACUCGAUUUCUUGCCCUGCUCUGGAGCUGUGCAAUCUCUGAACUACAUUCUUUAAGAUGGAAGAAUAUCCAUAACUGGGGUAGUCAACUCAAAAUAGCAAUGAUGACGACAAUAGUGUAGUAACGACCUAGACUGAGCACUUACUGUGCAUCAGAGACUGUGCCAAGCACUGAUUUUCUGUGAUCCUUACAGCAGCUGGAGGAGGACUGAUGGGCGAAACAGUCUUAAUACCUGGCUGUCACCAUCCCUUUGGAAGACUCCAGCAGACCCACAUGUCCUACAGUUCAACUUUUCAAACCUACCUCUUUGUAAUUCCUAAGUAGAAUUCUGAGCUCUGUUGUCAUAUUUCAGUUUUACAGUUACUCCAAAAUAUUUUGAUCCAAAUGUGCCCUUAAUGUCGUGCUUUAUUAAUGCGAUAUGACUCAUAUUAGUGACUGCUUGCUUUUGAGCCAUAUGCCCUGAAUAACUUAUCAGGUUUCAUUGUUUACCCUUAGUUUAAAAAAAAUUCCAUAUGCUCUGACCUUAUGACACCUAAACCCCGCUCAUGCAGUUAAAACAGGAAAACUAUAGUUAUCUGAUAUCAUGAAGGUAAAUCAGCUGGUAGAAACACUCAAAUGUUUCCUUUUCCACUGGUGUGAGGGCACUGUGGGAGUCAUAGAUUAUUAGUCAGGAAAGCAUAGGAGAGAAUUUUUGUUUGUUUGUUGGUUAAUUUCCAGAAUAAACCCAAUACAAACAUA